rnacentral:tRNA from 1 species
GCCCCCGUAGCUCAGUUGGAUAGAGCAUCGGAUUUCUAAUCCGGUUGUCCCAGGUUCGAGUCCUGGCGGGGGUGCCA